rnacentral:rRNA from 1 species
GAUUAGAGUUGAUCAUGGCUCAGAGUGAACGCUCGGCGGUAAGGCCUAACACAUGCAAGUCGAACGGCAGCACAGGAGAGCUUGCUCUCUGGGUGGCGAGUGGCGGACGGGUGAGGAAUACAUCGGAAUCUACUUUUUCGUGGGGGAUAACGUAGGGAAACUUACGCUAAUACCGCAUACGACCUACGGGUGAAAGCAGGGGAUCUUCGGACCUUGCGCGAUUGAAUGAGCCGAUGUCGGAUUAGCUAGUUGGCGGGGUAAAGGCCCACCAAGGCGACGAUCCGUAGCUGGUCUGAGAGGAUGAUCAGCCACACUGGAACUGAGACACGGUCCAGACUCCUACGGGGAGGCAGCAGUGGGGAAUAUUGGACAAUGGGCGCAAGCCUGAUCCAG